GACGAACGCUGGCGGCGUGCUUAACACAUGCAAGUCGAGCGGAAAGGCCCUUCGGGGUACUCGAGCGGCGAACGGGUGAGUAACACGUGAGUAACCUGCCCCAGACUUUGGGAUAACCCUCGGAAACGGGGGCUAAUACCGGAUACGACACAGCUUCGCAUGGGGUCUGUGUGGAAAGUUUUUCGGUUUGGGAUGGGCUCGCGGCCUAUCAGCUUGAUGGUGGGGUGAUGGCCUACCAAGGCGACGACGGGUAGCCGGCCUGAGAGGGCGACCGGCCACACUGGGACUGAGACACGGCCCAGACUCCUACGGGAGGCAGCAGUGGGGAAUAUUGCACAAUGGGCGGAAGCCUGAUGCAGCGACGCCGCGUGAGGGAUGACGGCCUUCGGGUUGUAAACCUCUUUCAGCAGGGACGAAGCGUAAGUGACGGUACCUGCAGAAGAAGCGCCGGCCAACUACGUG
rnacentral:rRNA from 1 species